rnacentral:rRNA from 1 species
GCCUGCAACUCGGCUGCAUGAAGCUGGAAUCGCUAGUAAUCGCAGAUCAGAAUGCUGCGGUGAAUACGUUCCCGGGUCUUGUACACACCGCCCGUCACACCAUGGGAGUUGGGAAUGCCCGAAGUCAGUGACCCAACCGCAAGGAGGGAGCUGCCGAAGGCAGGCUUGAUAACUGGGGUGAAGUCGUAACAAGGUACC